rnacentral:rRNA from 1 species
GAUGAACGCUAGCUACAGGCUUAACACAUGCAAGUCGAGGGGAAACGACAUCGAAAGCUUGCUUUUGAUGGGCGUCGACCGGCGCACGGGUGAGUAACGCGUAUCCAACCUGCCCAUCACUUGGGAAUAACCUUGCGAAAGUAAGAUUAAUACCCAAUGAUAUCCCACGAAGGCAUCGGAAUGGGAUUAAAGAUUUAUCGGUGAUGGAUGGGGAUGCGUCUGAUUAGCUUGUUGGCGGGGUAACGGCCCACCAAGGCAACGAUCAGUAGGGGUUCUGAGAGGAAGGUCCCCCACAGUGGAACUGAGACACGGUCCAAACUCCUACGGGAGGCAGCAGUGAGGAAUAUUGGUCAAUGGGCGAGAGCCUGAACCAGCCAAGUAGCGUGCAGGAAGACGGCCCUAUGGGUUGUAAACUGCUUUUAUAAGGGAAUAAAGUGGGUCACGUGUGACUUUUUGCACGUACCUUAUGAAUAAGGACCGGCUAAUUCCGUG